AUCUUCAGGGCGGGGUGUGAUUCCCCACCGGCGGUAAAGUCCGCGACCCUCCCGCGGGAGGCUGACCCGGUGCAACUCCGGGACCGACAGUAUAGUCUGGAUGGAAGAAGAU
rnacentral:ncRNA from 1 species